rnacentral:rRNA from 1 species
AACGAACGCUGGCGGCAGGCUUAACACAUGCAAGUCGAACGCCCCGCAAGGGGAGUGGCAGACGGGUGAGUAACGCGUGGGAAUCUACCCAGUUCUACGGAACAACAGUUGGAAACGACUGCUAAUACCGUAUACGCCCUAAGGGGGAGAGAUUUAUCGGAAUUGGAUGAGCCCGCGUUGGAUUAGCUAGUUGGUGGGGUAAUGGCCUACCAAGGCGACGAUCCAUAGCUGGUCUGAGAGGAUGAUCAGCCACACUGGGACUGAGACACGGCCCAGACUCCUACGGGAGGCAGCAGUGGGGAAUAUUGGACAAUGGGCGCAAGCCUGAUCCAGCCAUGCCGCGUGAGUGAUGAAGGCCUUAGGGUUGUAAAGCUCCUUCAGUAGGGAAGAUAAUGACGGUACCUACAGAAGAAGCCCCGGCUAACUUCGUGCCAGCCGCCGCCGUAAUAC